UGCAGAAUUCGCCCUUUCGGUUGAUCCUGCCGGACCCGACCGCUAUCGGGGUAGGGCUAAGCCAUGGGAGUCGAACGCCCCGCCGCUGCGGGGCGUGGCGGACGGCUGAGUAACACGUGGCUAACCUACCCUCGGGACGGGGAUAACCCCUUGGGAAACUGGGGCUAAUCCCCGAUAGGCGGGGGGUGCCUGGAAGGGUCCUCCGCCGAAAGGGGCCGCGGGGGGUUAUCGCCCGCGGUCCGCCCGAGGAUGGGGCUGCGGCCCAUCAUGGUAGUUGGCGGGGUAAUGGCCCGCCAAGCCUACGACGGGUAGGGGCCGUGAGAGCGGGAGCCCCCAGAUGGGCACUGAGACAAGGGCCCAGGCCCUACGGGGCGCACCAGGCGCGAAAACUCCGCAAUGCGGGCAACCGUGACGGGGCUACCCCGAGUGCCCCCCUUGGGGGGGCUUUUCCCCGCUGUAAGUAGGCGGGGGAAUAAGCGGGGGGCAAGACUGGUGUCAGCCGCCGCGGUAAUACCAGCCCCGCGAGCGGUCGGGGUGCUUACUGGGCCUAAAGCGCCCGUAGCCGGCUCGACAAGUCCCCGCCUAAAGCCCCGGGCUCAACCCGGGGAGUGGCGGGGAUACUGUCGGGCUAGGGGGCGGGAGAGGCCGAGGGUACUCCCGGGGUAGGGGCGAAAUCCAUUAAUCCCGGGAGGACCACCAGUGGCGAAGGCGCUCGGCUGGAACGCGCCCGACGGUGAGGGGCGAAAGCCGGGGGAGCGAACCGGAUUAGAUACCCGGGUAGUCCCGGCUGUAAACGAUGCGGGCUAGGUGUUGGGCGGGCGUGCGGGCCCGCCCAGUGCCGCAGGGAAGCCGUUAAGCCCGCCGCCUGGGGAGUACGGCCGCAAGGCUGAAACUUAAAGGAAUUGGCGGGGGAGCAC
rnacentral:rRNA from 1 species